rnacentral:rRNA from 1 species
UACGAAGGGGGCUAGCGUUGUUCGGAAUUACUGGGCGUAAAGGGCGCGUAGGCGGGAUGGCAAGUCGGUCGUGAAAUCCCUGGGCUCAACUCAGGGGGGUCGGCCGAUACUGCCGUUCUUGAGGGAUGCAGAGGAGACUGGAAUUCCCGGUGUAGCGGUGAAAUGUGUAGAGAUCGGGAGGAACACCGGUGGCGAAGGCGGGUCUCUGGGCAUUCCCUGACGCUGAGGCGCGAAAGCGUGGGGAGCAAACGGG